AUGAAUAUAGUUGUUUUUUCAAUGGAAUCCUUGUGUUUUUACCAAAUAAAAAAUUCAAGCUUGUGGGAAAAAUUUCAAGAAAAUGUUUUAAACACUUAUUGAAGUGAUUACAUUUUUAUACGACCGCAAACAAAUUUUUGUGGUCGUAUAUUGGUAUGACGUUGGCGUCUUCGUCGUCGUCGUUGUCGUCAUCCGAAGACACAUUAGUUUUCGCACUCUAACUUUAGUUUAAGUGAAUGGAUCUCAAUGAAAUUUUACCAUAAAGUUCAAUACCACAAAAGGAAGGUUGGGAUUGAUUUUGGGGGUUAUGGUACCAACAGUUAAGGAAUUAGGGGCCAAAAAUAAGCAUUUUUGUAACUUCCAGACAUAACUUGUGUGUAAGUGUAUGGAUCUCUCUGACAUUGUACCACAAGGUUCCAUAUCACAAAGGGAAUGCUGGGAUUGAUUUUGGGGGUAAUUGUCUCCAAAUUUUAGGAAUUAGGGGCCAAAAAGGGGCAAAAAACAAGCAUUUUUCUAGUUUCAUGACAAUAACUUGUGUGUAAGCCUAUGGAUCUCUCUGAAAUUGUAUCACAAGGUUCCAUAUCACAAAGGGAAUGCUGGGAUUGAUUUUGGGGGUAAUUGCCUCCAAAUUUUAGGAAUUAGGGGCAAAAAAGGGGCAAAAAACAAGCAUUUUUCUAGUUACAUGACAAUAACUUGUGUGUAAGUGUAUGGAUCUUUAUGAAAUUGUAUCAUAAGGUUCCAUAUCACAAAGGGAAUGCUGGGAUUGAUUUUGGGGGUAAUUGCCUCCAAAUUUUAGGAAUUAGGGGCCAAAAAGGGGCAAAAAACAAGCAUUUUUCUAGUUUCAUGACAAUAACUUGUGUGUAAGUGUAUGGAUCUUUAUGAAAUUGUACUACAAGGUUCCAUAUCACAAAGGGAAAGCUGGGUUUGAGUUUGGGGUAAUUGCCUUAAAUGUUUAGGAAUUUGGGGCCAAAAAACAAGCAUUUUUCUAGUUUCCAAACAAUAACUUGUGUUCAAGUGUAUGGAUCUCUCUGAAAUUGUACUGCAAGGUACCAUACCACAAAGGGAAGGCUGGGAUUGAGUUUGGGGGUAAUUCCCUCAAAAUUUUAGUAAUUAGGGGCCAUAAAAGGGCAAAAAAACAAGCAUUUUUCUAGUUUCAGGACAAUAACUUGUGUGUAAGUGUAUGGAUCUUUAUGAAAUUGUACUGCAAGGUUCCAUAUCACAAAGGGAAAGCUGGGUUUGAGUUUGGGGGUAAUUGCCCUAAACGUUUAGGAAUUUGGGGCCAAAAAGGGGCAAAAAAACAAGCAUUUUUCUAGUUUCCAAACAAUAACUUGUGUUCAAGUGUAUGGAUCUCUCUGAAAUUGUGCUGCAAGGUACCAUACCACAAAGGGAAGGCUGGGAUUGAGUUUGGGGGUGAUGAAUGAUAAGGGGGUUCAAAAAAUUUGGGGGGUGGAUUUUUUUUUCCUUUUUUUUCUUUAAAAUUUACCAUUUUAAAUUGGUUAUUUCUGAUUUAUAUAUAAAAGCAAAUAAUAAUGAUAUGGUUUGAAUAGGUAAAUUAAAUUUUUUAAAGUUCUUAGACCACUUUCAUUCUGUGUCAGAAACCUAUGCUGUGUCAAAUAUUUAAUUACAAUCCAAAUCCAGUGCUGUAUCAAGCUUGAAUGUUGUGUCCAUACUUGCCCCAACUGUUCAGGGUUCGACCUCUGCGGUCGUAUCAAGCUGUGCCCCAGCGGAGCAUUUUAUUACUU